GCAGCCGCGGUAAUUCCUACGGGAGGCAGCAGUGGGGAAUUUUGGACAAUGGGCGAAAGCCUGAUCCAGCCAUGCCGCGUGAGUGAAGAAGGCCUUCGGGUUGUAAAGCUCUUUCAGUCGGAAAGAAACGAUUGUGAUUAAUACUCACAAUUAAUGACGGUACCGACAGAAGAAGCACCGGCUAACUACGUGCCAGCAGCCGCGGUAAU
rnacentral:rRNA from 1 species